rnacentral:tRNA from 1 species
UUAAUUGAAGCCAAAGAGGGGGAGGCGCCUUAAUGUUAAUGAGGAUAGUGAUUAUUUUGAUCCAAUUAAA